rnacentral:rRNA from 1 species
UACGUAGGGUGCGAGCGUUAAUCGGAAUUCCUGGGCGUAAAGCGUGCGCAGGCGGUGCUGUAAGACAGGUGUGAAAUCCCCGGGCUUAACCUGGGAACUGUAUUUGUGACUGCAUCGCUGGAGUGCGGCAGAGGGGGAUGGAAUUCCGCGUGUAGCAGUGAAAUGCGUAGAUAUGCGGAGGAACACCGAUGGCGAAGGCAAUCCCCUGGGCCUGCACUGACGCUCAUGCACGAAAGCGUGGGGAGCAAACAGG